AAUUAAAUUCGUUAGGGCAACUGCAGAAUGAGGUUUUCAUCGGCCAGGAGAAAAAAUAAAAAAAUGAAAACGAACUAAAACAAGGCAAUUUGUGAGUUUCUGGGGUUCUAUAUGAUGUGAAACUUAAAACGAAACUUCGAGAUAGAGAAUUUAGAUUUGUGACUUACAUAUUAACAACCAGAAAUCGCAGCCUCAAAAUUAUGAAAUCGUAGCCUCCAAUAUUCAAAAUCGCAGUCUCAAACUUCUGUACUCGAAGCUCCAAUAUUCGAAAUCCCAGCCUCAAAUCUCUGAAAUCAUAGAAAUACAAAUUAUUCAUGAAAUCAACCCAAUCAGUUCUUCGAAAACGAAAUAAAAAACAAAUUCAGAAAAAUGAAAAGAAAAAAAAAAGCGAAUCAAAACAAUUCUAUCCAAUCAUAAGAAACCAAAACCCUAACAGAGUCCUCUGCAGAUCGAAUUCAGACUGGACUAGUGGGAAACGAGUCAAAAUUGUAUUGAAAGUAGAAUAUCUCUGAAAUCGUAGCUUCUAACCUCUAGCUCAUAUCAAAAUCGACGGAAAAGCCAUGGGAGAGAGCGUGACAAGUUGGAGCUCUCGACAAGUUCGAGAGCUGGAGAAUUUGUUUUUUUCUUGGUUAAUAUAUACUAGCCGGCACGCAUAGACAUUUUUUAAUCACGGCGCUACGUGCGAUUUACACAUUUUAAAUGUAUUUAUAUGCGAGGAUUGGUUCAAUGUAUAGAAACAUUAAAUAAAGGUGAUUAUCAACUCUAAUAAUACAGGCAUGAAUUUAAAGUAUUUUAUCUAGAAUAUGUAAAAAAAAAAAGUAAUAAAUAACAUAGAAGAUCCUUAUACUGUAGUCGCAACUAAAAACUAAAUAAAAAGUGUAAAAACAAUUCAAGAACUUCAAUCGACCUUGAUACACUUGACAACAAAAUAUAUCAUGAACUCAUAUCGUUUUGUCCUGUAAUCUGUACCCCAAAAGCUAGCGCAUGAUCGUUUUUCAAACAUUGGCAAGCAAAACCCCAUAUAUAGUUCCACAAAAUCUUGGCGUGAUUGAUGUCCAACACUCUGCAAAAGAAGAAAAAGAUUUUCAAAUGGAUUAUGGAACUAAAACAACGCACCAUUCCACCAAUUUUGAUUUAAAACUAUGAGCAACUCAUUGGGAGAAAAAUGAUGAAUAGACUGUUGAGAAAUCUUUUUUGGACGAUUCAAAAGUGAAUAGCAUAAAAAAGACAAUUUAAUUUUUAAUAUUAUACCCUAAUAUUUUAUAGGUUAAUCUAUUUAGUCAAUCCGUCAUGUGUGGUUUUUAUCAUAAUCCUCUUUCUCCUUUACAUUUGGCAAUUGUGUAGAUUUGCAUCUCUAGUAAAAAAUUUCUUCUAUUGUACUUUGUUUGUUGACAAAGUAUUUUGCAAAAAACAAAUAAGCAUCGGUGACAAAGAGUAAAUGAAAUACAUACUAUCAAACUAAAAUACAUACCUUAGAACGAUUAUUCCCACCACCACAGCCUUGUUCGUUCGAUAUAUGUUUGACUGAGAGGAAUAAAAAAUCAUGAAAACUAGUCUCAAUAUAGAGGUCAAGCAACAUUUAAUAGUAAGGAGAAAAAGAAAAAAAAGUAUCAUAAAAAAUAGGACCAAUCGAAAAUUAUGGAAAGAAAAGAGGAAUAAAACUCAGUUAACUUCACAAAAGAAAUUUUAUCAUCACAAUAGAACACUUAACACACGGUAAACCUCAUCUUACUAUUUCACAGCAGAAUAAGUAAAUUUUUUCCUUGAAGUUGAAUGCUCUCCAAAUGGAGAAGAGCUUGUUCUUGGUCUUUUAGAAUUCCUCUGGACUCAUGUAGGAAAUCUCAGUUUAAGCCCUUCAACCAUCCUUACAAUUAGUCAGUCUCUUCCUAAUUUCUUCCUUCAUCCCAGACAUAUGCUCUCUAAAAACUACAAACUCAAUGAACACACCUUCCUCAUAAAUACGAUUUCUCAACAAUAUGCUCCCUAAACAAAUAAUGUUGAACACUCAAAAAUGUCAGGUUAGUUCUAUAGUAUGCAAGGAGUAACAGUUCUAGUCUUACCUAUUGGGAGAAUAAUGUAAAUUCGUGAGGGCAAAUCAUAGAGACAAAAGAUCGAAACAAAUGGCUUACUAAUUGAGUCGACUCUCAUCUGAAACAAAGGAAGCAUGGCAACAGGCAACAUACCUGGAAAAGAAAACGUUAAAUAAUAAGAAAUAUUGGAGAAUCUAUAUACACAAAAUAUUCAGGAUUUAAAAAACAUAAUCUUCAAAAGCCAGAUUUAAAAAAACAUAAUCUUCAAAAGCCAACAAUGACAAAAUCACAUACAAUGGUUCAGAAGAACCUGAAUCAUGUGAUGUACCUUGUCUUUUCUGAUGAGCUUGCAUCCUGCAAGAGGUGCAACACUGAAGGUUUGAGCAAGAAGCUUAUCACCCAUUCAAAAUUAAUUAGAAACAAAAUGAAAUUUGAGCAAAUGAUCGUUUGCAAGGCCGACAUGCAUACAAUUCAGAGACGAUGGUUUACCUUUUUGUUUCUAGAAGUUGAAAACAUAAUCUUGAGAGACGAUGAGAUUUUGGAAAACCGAGGAAAUUUGAUUAAAAAGGGAUAUGAAAUCGGAGAAAUUUGUGGAAACGUACAGCGGUUUCCAAUCGCCCCUGCAGAACGGGGAAUCGUUGCAGAAAAUUGCUUCUAUCUCUAGCUUUAGCAGUUUAUCUUUCGUCCUCUAUUUGAGGGUUUACCACAUUCUUUUUUUUUUAAUCUUGAUUUUUUUUUCAAUAAAAUGAAUUAUAAAUUUAUGUUUUUUUUUACAAAAAUACCCCUGUUGUUUUGAUUGCAUUAUUUUCAUUCAGUUUUAUAGGGGUGUAGUCAAACUAAGGAGUGUAGUCAAAGUAAGAUUUUAAAGGAUUUUAAAAGGGAUAGAUUUGAUAGGAUUUAAGAGGAUUAAAUAUUCCUACAAAAUUCAUAUGGAUUUGAAUGGAUAGUUUGUAGAUUUUGGUGGAUUGUGAUGGAAGGAUUUGAAAUCCUAGAGGGUGAAGUUGGAUUCUUUUUAACCUUGGUUACAUAUAGAAAUCCUUAGAAAUCCUUUAAAAUCCACAACUUAUAGAAAUCCUCCAAAAUUUGAAUACACUUAGGGGGUGUAGUCAAACUUGGAUUUGAGAGGAUUUUAAAAGACUUUAAAAUCCUAGUAUAGUCAAUUAAAAAUUUUUAAAGGAUUUUAGAAUCUAUUAAAAUCUAGGUGUAGUCAAUUAAAAGAUUUUAGAAUCCAUUCAAAUAUAGGCAUAGUCAAUUAAAAGAUUUUAAAGGAUUUUAGAAUCAAUCCAAAUCUAAGUGUAUUCAAAUCAUUAAGAUUUUAGACGAUUUUAAAAAGUUGUGGAUUUUGUGGGAUUUGAAAGCAAAAAGUAUAUAUAACCAAAAUUAAAAAGAAUUCAACCUCACCCCCUAGGAUGUCAAAUCCUUCCCCCACAAUCCACCACAAUCCAUUCAAAUUCUUUAAAAUCCAUAUGAAUUUUGUAGGAGUCUUUAAUCAUCUUAUCCUAUCAAAUCUAUCACUUUUAAAAUCCUUUAAAAUCCUUUAAAAUCUAAGGUGGGGUGUAGUCAAACUUGGAUUUGAGAGGAUUUUAAAAGACUUUAAAAUCCUAGUGUAGUCAAUUAAAAGAUUUUAAAGGAUUUUAGAAUCCAUUAAAAUCUAGGUGUAGUCAAUUAAAGGAUUUUAGAAUCCAUUAAAAUCUAGAUGUAGUCAAUUAAAAGAUUUUAAAGGAUUUUAAAAUCCAUCCAAAUAUAAGGAGGGUGUAGUCAAACUAAGAUUUUAAAGGAUUUUAAAAGUGAUAGAUUUGAUAGGAUUUAAGAGGAUUAAAGAUUCCUACAAAAUUCAUAUGGAUUUGAACGCAUAGUUUGUAGAUUUUGGUGGAUUGUGAUGGAAGGAUUUGAAAUCCUAGGGGGUGAAGUUGGAUUCUUUUUAGCCUUGGUUACAUAUAGAAAUCCUUAGAAAUCCUUUAAAAUCCACAACUUAUAUAAAUCCUCCAAAAUUUGAAUACACUUAGAUUUGGAUGGAUUUUAAAAUCCUUUAAAAUCUUUUAAUUGACUACACCUAGAUUUUAAUGGAUUCUAAAAUCCUUUAAUUGACUACACCUAGAUUUUAAUAGAUUCUAAAAUCCUUUAAAAUCUUUUAAUUGACUACACUAGGAUUUUAAAGUCUUUUGAAAUCCUCUCAAAUCCAAGUUUGACUAUACCCCCGCUAAGAUUUUAAAGGAUUUUAAAGGAUUUGACUGCACCCCCCUAAGAUUUUAAAGGAUUUGACUGCACCCCCCUAAGAUUUUAAAGGAUUUUAAAAGUGAUAGAUUUGAUAGGAUUUAAGAUGAAUAAAGACUCCUACAAAAUUCAUAUGGAUUUUAAAGAAUUUGAAUGGAUUGUGGUGGAUUGCGGGGGAAGGAUUUGAAAUCCUAGGGGGUGAGGUUGGAUUCUUUUUAGUUUUGGUUAUAUAUACUUUUUGCUUUCAAACCCCACAAAAUCCACAAACUUUUUAAAAUCGUUUAAAAUCUUAAUGUUUUGAAUACACUUAGAUUUAGAUGGAUUCUAAAAUCUUUUAAUUGACUACACCUAGAUUUAAUGGAUUCUAAAAUCCUUUAAAAAUUUUUAAUUGACUAAAGGAUUUUAAAGUCUUUUAAAAUCCUCUCAAAUCCAAGUUUGACUACACCCCCCUUAGAUUUUUUUAUGUGAGGGUUAUUUUAGUCCAAUUAUUUUUGGUGAAGCCUUGAGACACUAAAGUUGUCUUCUGGCUUUCUAAUAUUAGAGAUUUAGUUUUAGAUUUUUUGUUUGAGGGUUAUUUUAGUCCAAUUAUUUUUGGUGAAGCCUUGAAACACCAAAGUUGUAUUCUGACUUUCUAAUAUUAGAGCUACAGUAGAUGAAACAAGAUGUGAGCGUAAAUAUACAAGAGUUUUUUUUUUAGAAAAUAUAGAGAAGGUAGAGAAGUUAUGGAGAAAUGUGAAAGAGAGAAAUGGAAACAAGUUUAAAAAUUUAGAUAUAUGUUAGGUUAAUGUGGGUGGGUGAAGGAAAAAUUUCGUUUAUACAAAAUUACGUUACUGUUAUGAUUUUAUUUUGUGAUAAAAAAUUACAUUAUUUUUUUUUGGGGGGGGAGAGAUUUUGUUAACAUGUAAUUUAUAUAAGACUAUAUAUUUUUUAAGAGAGACUAAGUUUUUUAUUUAUCUGAGAGAGAGAUUAAACUUAUUCACGUGAUAUGCGAUGUCAUGAUUAUUUUUUAAUUGCUUUUUCGUUAACAAUUUUACUCUAAAUCUCUAUAUUCUUAUUUAUACGUUUUAGUUUUAUGUCCUUUUUUUUCUUCUUGGUCCAUUUCUAUCUCUCUUCCUUCUCCAUUCUACCCAUGUCUCUCUUUCUCUCUCUCCACCUUCUUCUUUGUAUUUUUCUUUCUCUUCUCUCUUCGUACUUCUCUCUAUUCCUCUUCCUACAUCAUUAUCUCUACUAGUAUUGAAAAUUUCGAAACUGAUCUUUUCAAAGUGUUGGAAUUUUAAAUUUGAUCUUAUAGAAAUUUUGAAACUGAUCUAAUAGAAGUGCAAAUAAAAUUUGAAAGUAAUCUUGCAAAAGUGAAUGAAUUGUGAAACUGAUCGUUCAGAAAUAAGAAAUUAAUUUUUACGGAUCUAAAAUCAGUUUGAAGUUUUUAUAGAUGGUGUCACUUUAUAGUUUUGGCCUGGUUAACUAACAAGUCUAUUAUGCACAAAACCGGAGGUCUUGGAACAACGUAAAUCUGACCAUGAAUCUGCAAGAAAGUAAAGAACACAAAAUGUAUCGUGGUUCACCCCAAUGUUUGGGCUACGUCCACACUGAUAUUGUAUUUCUCUGUUUGUGAGAGGAUUGUGAGGGAGAGAGAGCUUCUGUUUAGGGGAUGUAAGGCUCUCAAUAUGAGGGUGAGGAAGCCCUUUUAUAGACUAAGGGCUCCUCCCCUUUUUACAUAUUUGCCCCUUCAUUUAUUACACAAUUACAUUUGAGUCCCUCGAGUAUUUAUACGAGGUCUAAAUACGAAGGCCCUAAGUAUGGUAUAAAUAGUAGUCCCUCAAGUCUUCAGUCAAAAGAGUCUUUUGGCUGGAGACUUGAAAUUCAGUCCAUGUGUGAGCCGAAGUAACUAGAUGUCAUCUAGAACUGAUACUCGAUAUGAGGCGAUGCCCAAUCUGAAAUGAUGCUCAACCAGAAGUAGCACAUGUUGCGAAGCUGCUCUGCUUGUGGCUUAUGUUGCCUUGGUUGGUUCGGCUUGUGGUGUUAAAGGUGAGGGAGUCCCUUUUAUAGACUAAGGGCUUACUCCUCAAUACAUAAAUGAUGGGCUAGAGUUGAUGCUCGCGGCGAGGCGGUUACUCAGCAGGCGGCGAUGCUCUCUAAUGAUGGUGAGGGAGUCCCUUUUAUAAAAUAAGGGCUCGCUCCUCAAUACAUGAAUAAUGGGCUGGCGUUGAUGCUCGCGGCGAGGCGAUUGCUCAGCAGGCGGCGAUGCUCUCAAAUGAUGGUGACAGAGUCCCUUUUAUAAAAUAAGGGCUCGCUCCUCAGUAUAUGAAUAAUGGGCUAGAGUUGAUGCUCGCGGCGAGGCGGUUGCUCAGCAGGCAGCGAUGCUCUCUAAUGAUGGUGAAGAAGUCCCUUUUUAUAAAAUAAGGGCUCACUCCUCAGUACAUGAAUAAUGGGUGCUCUCUAAUGAAAGUAAGGGAGUCCCUUUUAUAAAAUAAGGGUUCGCUCCUCAAUACAUGAAUAAUGGAUGCUCUCUAAUGAAAGUGAGGGAGUCCCUUUUAUAAAAUAAGGGCUCACUCCUCAAUACAUGAAUAAUGGGUUAAGUCCCUCGAGUAUUUUUCAUAAGGCCCAGUUGUGGAAGCCCAAUAUGUGGUAGAUAGUGUAUUCCCUUAAGUCUUCAGUCAAGAGAGACUGUUGGCUGGAGACUUCAAAUUCAAUCCAUGUAUGGGCCGAAGUGGCAGUUGUUCGGAGGUGGUCUUUAUAGACCAUGCACUGAAGCUUUGUAGGUGAAACUUUUAAAGUGAAGCUUUGAAGCUGGAACUCUGUAAAUGAAGCUUUCGAAGCUGAUUAACAUGAGUGAUGCUCAUGAAUGUUUACGUUGAUUGACAUGAGUGAUGCUCAUGGAUGUUAACAUGAGUGAUGCUCAUGAAUGUUGACAUGAACGAUGGUCAUGAAUGUUUAUGUAUGAUUGACAUAAGUGAUACUCAUGAAUGUUUAUGUAUGAUUGACAUGAGUGAUGCUCAUGUAUAUUUUUUGAAGUAUUGGACGUACUUUUGAUCACCUGGUUAGUGAUAAUAGCGGCAAGCUGCCGAAUAAUUUUGAGGUACUGGACGUACUUCUGAUCACCUGAUUUGUGAUAAUAGCGGCAGGGUGCCGAAUAAAUUUGGAGUACUCGAUGUACUUUUGAUUACCCGGUUGGUGAUAAUAGUGGCAGGGUGUCAAAUAAAUUUGUAGCCAUAGGGUCUGGCUCUUUUGGGCAUAUGGGUCUUGGCCCUCCACAUAACAUUCCAGCCCAUUAUUUUGGGCUUGCUGUUUUUUUUUUUUUUUUACCUUCUGAUAGGGUUAUACAGAUGUCUCCGAAAGAUAAGAAAAAUAACUCACAUCAUUCAAAAAUAAAUCUGACCCUCUGCUCAAUGGGUCACACUCAUAACUCCCUUUUCUGCAUGUCAUUACCACCGCAAUUAUGUCUGCUUCUUUUUAUCUUAUGUUGCUUUCUACUUUUUGUUUCUGCUUUUCUCCAGACAUCAUUUUUCUUUUUCUUACUUUUGCUUUUCUGCUUUUUCUUUUCCACCGCACCUCUUUCUCUGUCUCUGUCUUUGCGCUGCUGUCAUGCAUGUGCUCAGUCAAAUCCCAAUCUCUUAGAUUUUAUUCUCUUCUCUCUUUUUGCUUUCUUCUUUGCAGAUGGCAGACAAAAGUAAAGUUCUUUUCUUUACUUUGCUUUACUUUGCAGAUUGCAGAUGCACUGCCGAACCAAACAGCCGGAGAUCUGGUCGUGGAAACCGUGAAACAAGAACCUGGCAAACGUGUUAGCAACCUCUUUGGAUGCCUCGGUCCUCCUCAACUCGAUCAGUCUCAUACCCACCCAUGCAGUCGACUCAGCUGCUCAACACUCAGUGAUGGUGGCGUCAGAGUGAUUUCGUCCAGCAACUGAGAUCUGCAUAUUAUCUUUCAAGACAUCGAGAUGCGUGAUUACGAGAUGGGUAGCGCCAGCACUGAGCAUUCCCCCAACAGUGCAGAGCCCAUAAUAUGCAAGUGAAAAUAGCAUUCCCCCAACAGUGCAGAGCUCAUUAAUUUCAUCAAAUUGCAGUUGAAAAGGUAACAAAAAGCCUUCACCUUGUCCUAGAGUGAACUUGAAUGGAGUCCCCCCGUCGCGACUCGAAUCGAACUGAGUCCCGUCCAGCAAUGUCCCAGUAUAAUGAACUUCAACUUCAUUGCCAUUAUUGGAAGUGUCCCAGCCUUCCCCUUCCUUUAGGAGCUUCUUCUUCAAUCCUUGGUGGCCGAUCUCCUUCUCCUCACCGACCUUCAGGACUGGCCCCUCGUCGGGGAAAUCAAAGUCCUCGUUCAUAUCCUCCGCCCCUAGCAUAUCGAAGUCCUCGUCCAUUUUCUCGAAAGCGCGAGAUGAAAAAUUCAACGAUUUGAAAGCGUAUUACAAGAUUCUGAGAUUGAAGAAAAUUAGGGAAAAGUGAGAGUGAGGGAGACGAGGCUUUUAUGGUGUUAUUUUUUAGAGUUCUAGAGGCUUCUACAAGGUUGUUGGGCUGCAGCGCGAGGUUUUACUUACAUGCUCCCUUGCCCAAAGGGUGCUUAUUGUCCACUUGCAAAACUCAAUAACGAAUCUGGGAUAUGUGAGCCGUAAGGUCAUAUUCAAGGCCUAAAUUGGGUCGAGUUUUGGAUUUUCAAUGUAGAGUGGAUGAUGAGAGAGAGAGAUCUGCGAAGGUUUUUCCGAAACAGCUCAAUGAGGGAGAUUCUUAGUUUCUGCAAAUUGACGUAGGGGUUUAAUGAAAAAAAAAUGAAAGAGAACCGACAUAGCUUUUCGUGUCGUUUCCCAUAAACGGGGCCAAAUGUUGAUGCACAAAACCGGAGGUCUUGGAACAACGUAAAUCCGACCAAAAAUUUUCCUAGGCCUCCUCUUCUUUGGGCCUAAUAACUUUCAUAACAAAUAUAUAUGAAUGAGGAGUUUCAGGCUACCACUUAGAAAGGAAAAUGGUGAAGUUUUGUUACUUUAGAAACUUGGCUAAUAGCAAGACAUCUCCUUCGUCAACUCCAUCGACUGAAGACUUGGGGGACUCCUACCAUAUGCUACUGCACCUUGAUACUCGGAAGUCUCAUAACCACUCAGUGACUUGGAUUUUUCAAGUCUCCAACCGAAAAGUUUUCCUCACUCUGGAAAUUAAGGGAACACUACCUCAACCUACAUGUUUCACUCACAAAGCUUCAACAUACAAGCUUCAACAAAAGAAAAAAAAUCAAAGAACUUAGAGAAUAAGGCUUUGGUGUAUUUAACACAAUACGUUGAAAUGAAGCAAAGCUUAUUUAUUGAUAUAUCUGAUAAGUUACAAAUAUGUACAUAUACAUGAGUCAAAAUAAACAAACAAGAUGGAGCCUUCACAAAGGUUGCUUAGGAGAAGUCUCAGCAGUCGACAGAGCCUCAGAAAGGGAAGGCACCGAAGGGUGAUCAUUCAGAGCCUCAGUACUGGACAGAACCCCAGAAGGAGGAGGCAUCAGAGGUUGAUCAUUUGGAACUUCAUUACGCAGUACAACCCCAGAAGACGAAGGCAAUAAAUGCCUUUGGAACAAACCCACAAACCUCUGAUGAUCAAGUAAAAUCUGACCAUCAGAUUCCUGCAUUUGGUCAAGCUUCCUCUUCAUGUUUGUAGCAUAGUCAUGUGCGAGCCUGUGCAACUGUUAUUCUCAUACUUGAGCCCUCUAAUAUCCUGUUUGAGACUUAUCACUUCAGCUGCCAAUGAUUCAACCUGGCGGGUUCGAGCAAAUAGGCGUUGGGCCAUAUUAGACACAGAACCUGCACACUGAACACUGAGAGUCAGAGAAUCCUUAACAGCCAACUAAUCAGACCGUUUAGAAAGUAGUCUGUUAUCUUCGGGAGUGAGAAGGUUCCUGACCACCACCGCAGCAGUCAUAUCAUUCUUCAUCACAGAGUCCCCAACGGUAAGAGGACCAGUAGGGGAUAAGAAGGAUGGGCACUAUAUGUUGUCAUGAAGAGGCAUGGCUGCCUCUUCACCAAAGUUCGAGUCAAAACGACGGUCGGAUGAGCCAGACAUUUCUAGAAAUGAUGAAGGAGAAAUAAGGUCCAAUAAAUCUCUGAAGUACGAAAAUAAGGGGGAAAUGCCUACAAGCAAUAACUCUCUGAACGUACUUCUUGCACACAAUUGGUGCCCCUAUAAAAGAAAGGACAACAGGGUCGUUGGUUCAAAAAUCGAAGAGGCACCACUCUUCGGAUUUCAAAGAGGCAUUAUUCUCCACACGCAACAUCAGCUCAUCAGGUACCACAUAUAACUUUACCAAAGAUCUCUGACAAAGUUUAGACACAUAAAUUUUGAAGGUCCAACUACCCUACUAUUACCCACAAAGGUAAAGGAACAACACCACUGCUUGAUAACUGGAAAGUCCCUAUGUGUGUCAACAUCCGUGCUCCGUGGCAAGGCACACUGACAAAAAUGCCCAAUCUUUACUCACAUCGAGAAAACACUCCCAACAUGAUUACUUGCUCAAAAAUCGAAGAGUCACCACUCCCUGAAUCUCGAGAGCCAAACUCUCACCAGGAUUGCUUUCUCAAAAAUGGAAGAGUCACCGCUAUCCAACUCUCGAGAGCCAGACUCACAACAGGGUUACUUUUUCAAAAAUCGAAGAGGCACAGCUUUCCAAAUCUCGAGAGCCAAACUCCCAACAUGAUUUGUUUCUCAAAAAUUAAAGAGGCAUCGCUCUCCGAAUCUCGAAAGCCAGACUCCCAAUAAGAUUGCUUUCUCAAAAAUCGAAGAGGCACCGCUCUCCGAAUCUCGAAAGCCAGACUCCCAAUAAGAUUGCUUUCUCAAAAAUCGAAGAGGCACCACUCUCCGAAUCUCAAGAGCCAGACUCCCAACAAGAUUACUUUCUUAAAAAUCAAAGAGGCACCGUUCUCCGAAUCUCGAGAGUCAGAUCCCCAACUGGAUUGCUUGUUCGAAAACCGAAGAGGCACCACUCUCUAAACUUUGAGAGCCAGAUUUCCUUGGAUAAAGCUUAUCUGCAAUCUUCACAUGCAACAUCAGCUUUCCAGAUACCACAUACCACUUUUUCAAAGUGCUUUGACAAAGUUAAAACACGUGAAUCUUACGGUUCCCACUACAUUGCUAUGACCGAGAAAGGUAAAGGAACAGCGUUACUACUCGCUGUUAGGACAAUUCCUAUAUAUGUCGACCUUCAUCCUCCAUAGCCAGGCAAAGUUGCAAAUAAAAAAAUGCUCAACUUUUCAUCACAUCCGAGAGGGCACUCUCAGUAGAGUCUCUCAAAAUACUCAGCUUAUUUUCCCCUCGAUAAUACCUCUGCAAACAAGCCACACCAGAGCCAGAGUAUCUCAUAUCAUCAGGGUUAAAAGUUAGAGUAUCUCAUAUCAUGUUUUUUCCCUAUCUUUUCCUUUUGCCUUGUUCUUACCUACAAAACAAUGAGAAAGAGAGCAAUCAGUCAGCACUUGGAAUCAAGCUUCCAGUCAGGAACUGACUAUCUGGAGCUCCUUACCUGAUUACUUACUUGGCAUUGCUCUCGAGUACUCAUCUUCAACAUCUUAUGCUUCCAGAAAAGAUACCACAUCUGCCUGAAGAACAGAUAGGGUAAGUGAGAAAGAUACAAGGAAGCAUAUGGAGACAAGCGCAACAGAACACGUGCCGAUUCAUCUAUUACUUUGUCAACAGCAAAAGUAUCUCAUAUCAUCAAGGUCGAACGCACUCUUGAUUUGAUGGACUUGUUUUGACCCUCAAAUUCUUGAGUCGGCCUUAUACUCUUGAGGAAACUAGAAAACCCUUCAGCCCAGUUCAAGAAUAAGCCUGUGGAAAGUUACUUCUUCAAAAGCAAAAGUAUCUUAUAUCAUCUCUUCUCAUUUUUCUUCUAUUUAUCCUUCAUGCUGCCUGCAAGAUAAGGAGAAUGAGAACAAUCAGCCGGAACUCGAAAUCAAACUUCUAAUCUGGGACUGAUUGCUUGGAGCUCUGAUUGAUUACCUUGUCUGUCACCUCUUUUGGCAGAUCUCCUAGCUCGGCGACUUGGGGGACUCCUACUACAUGGUUUGUAUCGCGCUUGACCAAGCCUGAAACUACAAGUAAGCUUCAAGUGAAAUUAAUACAUUACCUUGUGCAUCUUCACCGAUUAAAGAUACCACCCCUGGAUGGAGGAAGAGUACUUCCAGAGAAGAUGCCACAUCUACAUAUGAGACAGAUAAGGCAAGUGAAGACGAUACCACACUUCGGUGCUUAGAAGUUUCGUGAUUACUCAGCGGCUUGGAUCUUGCAAGUCCCCAACCGAGAAGCUUCCCUCAUUCGGGAACUUAGGGGAGCACUGUUUGUACCAUACUUGACCAAUCCCGAAACUACUGAUCACCGGUCAACGUUAUACUAUCAAGGACCCAGAAGAGUUUCCCUACAACCAGGAGGCCAAUCACAGUGCAACACGUGUCGAUAUCAGAAACCAAUCACAGCGCGACACGUGUCAACAUCAGAAGCCAAUCACAACACGACACGUGUCAAUGUCAGAAUAAAGCGAGAAACUCUUCUAUAAAAGGAGAUCAUUCUCCCACAAUAUUUCGUAAUGUCAUUUGUACUAAAUCAUUCACUUGUACUCACUAAAGGAGAGCUUGAACCUAUGUACUUGUGUAAACCUUCACAAUUAAUGAGAACUCCUCUACUCUGUGGACGUAGCCAAUCUGAGUGAACCACGUACAUCUUGUGUUUGUUUCCCUAUCUCUAUCCAUUUACAUACUUAUCCACACUAGUGACCGGAGCAAUCUAGCGAAGGUCACAAACUUAACAUUUUCUGUUGCACCAAAGUCCUCCCUCAUUUUGUGCAUCAACAAAGUCUAUUGAGGCCAUGGUUGGAAUUUUAAAAUUUGGGAACUUUAACGAAAAGCUCCCAGUACUGUUCACUUUAACGAAAUACCACAUUUUUACACUAAAAAGUCAAUUUUGGUACUAUUCAUUUUACCCUUUAUUUUGUCCUUAUCAUUAAAACUCAAAGUUUUCAUGCCCUUUUCAUUAGUUUUCCUUAAAAUUUUGGUUUGCUUGUUUUUGGGUUAGGUUUGUUGAGGUUUGAGUUUUUGUCUCUCCUUGAAAUGAUUCAAAACUAGGGAAGUUCUAUGAAAUGUAUUUUGUGUUUUAGUGUACAAAGAUUUGGUGACCAUGUAUUGCUAAUUUAAAAGUGUGGGGCUAAUGCUGGAGCUCCAUCAUGUUUAUAUGUUUAUGAACUUAGCAGGACUAUGAAUUUGUUGUUUAUCUUUCUCUAGGGUUAGAGAAUGCCUCAUUUCGGCGAUCAAUCCCUCAACCUCAUCGCCCAUAUAUGCCGCAAAGCGAAUGAAGUAGCGCACUUUCUAGCCCGCUCGACACUUCUUUGUAAUGGUUUUUUGGUCUUGGUCUGAAGAACCUCCUGAUCUCUCUUCUGUGUAUAUCUCUUCGACCAUUUGGUCUUUCAAUGAAACACUGCUGAUUUUCAAAAAAAUAAAAAAUAAAUAAAAUUCGGUAAUCGUUGAAGAUUGGAGGUUGCAUUGAGCGUUUCUCACCCUCGACUUUGUCACAUUGAUAUCGCGAUCGCAUACAUUAUCUGACAUGGACGCAGUAUAUAUCAUUGUUGUCGGCGGAAAUAUAGGGGAAACCAUGGCUGUAGCUGUGAAAUCUACUGAAGAAUCAACAAAACAGAAUAAACCUUUAACAAGACAGAGGCAAGUGGUUGUGACAGGAACGAGUGUGGUGACCCUACGCGGUCAUGAUUCUGAUGUUUUCUACAAUAAUUUGCUUGAGGGAGUUCGUGGCAUUAGUCAUUAGUGAGAUAGAAGCUUUUGAUUGCACCCAAUUUCCAGCAGUAGAAGUCAUGGAGACGUUAGAUAAGGCAAAAUGUGUGGUUUUCAUUGGCUCAACAAUGGGUGGCAUGAAGGUAAGCCCAGUGUUCUGUGCCUUAAUAUUAUGUACACUUUUUGCGGAACGUUGAAAGAUCUUUCUACCGGUUUGUCUUCAAUUUGAUGUUUUUAGCAAGCAUGGUUUAUAGUUUGUAAUCCUCCAAAUGUCAUUUUUGGUGGAGAUGCACGAAGACUAGUUUCUCUGAUUUCAGAACUGGACUUGUUUAUGUUCUUUAUCUGUUAAUUUAAGACAGUGUAUCAGUACCACAAAAUCUGAUUUCAGAACUGGAUUUUUUUGUGGAGAUCCGCAAAAUCUGAUUUUGGGACAAGAUCUGAUGUGUUUUUCAUCACUUCAGUCAUGUUUGAUAAAUCCAUUUUGUGUUUUGAUAUUGAAGCUUUACAGUUUUCCUAUAAGAAGGUGAACCCUUUCUCUGUACCUUUGCAACCACAAAUAUGGCUGCCAUGCUCGCAAUGGAUCUUGUGAGAUUAUAAUAUAUUCGAUGCAAUACUCUUACAAUUCGUGAUGGCUGCUGAUUUUGUACUUGUCCUUUUAACUGAUAUUUAUUCUUACACUUGCAGGGUUGGAUGGUCCCAAACUAUUCAACCUCUACUGCUUGUGCUACAAGCAGCUUCUGUACUUUGAAUUCGGCAAAUCAUAUCAUUAAAGCCAAAGCAGUAAGUAUUCCUACAAGCAGCUUCUGUACUUUUAAGUAUAUUAUAAUAACUGAUAUACAAUUUUCUUUGAAAUCUUACGCAGGACCUUAUGCUCUGUGGUGGUUCAGAUUAAGUGAUGAUACCUCUUGGUAUUGCUCCCAUUCUUUGCAAAUGUUAUUUCUUAGUUUUACUUGGAUUUGCACGUACAAUAAUCUUGUUCUUGCAAUUAUUGGAGGAAUGGGAGGCUUUGUGGCAAGCAGAGCACUGACACAAAGAAACAAUGAUCCGACCAAAGCAUCACGCCCUUGGGAUAGUGUAAUGCGUCCAAUAACUAUGCUAGAUUCAUUUAUUCUUUUAUUUCCACUGUGAUGGCUUUGUUAGGAGGGAAGGAGCUGGCGUUUUGCCUCCGGAAGAGUUAGAACAUGCUAUGGUAUUUUCUAAAUCUAUGACCUUGGCAAUGGCAAUUGGGUGUCUGUCUGGAUAUCCUUUUUUUUCUGUUAAGGUUGUAGGUGCAAUGUCUGUAGGGACGUUCUGUAUCCUGUGGUUCCCUCAAGCUCUAUGGUCUCACAAACACGUUUUCUAAUCAUUCAUCUGUAUCUCACUAUGCAAUAUGGUGUUUUUUUUAUUAAUGUCCUUGGAAACAGGGGCCGGGGUUAUUCUCUGCAUUGAAAAGGCUUUAGAACAGUCUGGGAUGUCUAGGGAAGAUGUUAAUUACAUUAAUGUACAUGCUACAUCCACACCGGCCGGAGAUCUCAAGGAGUAUAAUGCACUCAUUCAUUGUUUUGGCCAGAAUCCUGAUGUAACAACAAUACAUUGUUGACUUGUAUUAGGAUUCCUAUAAUUGUGGGAUUCCUACUGUAAUUGGUUUCCUAGUUUAGGAUAUAAUUAUUCUUUCCCUUAUUCUUUCCCAUAUCUGUAUAGGGUUGUAUAUAUACCUUGUUUUGAUAUGAAAUCAAAAUAUAAUUGAAAGGCAUUCUUUCUUCUUGGCACCAGAGCCGGGUUAGAAAAACACUGAACCCUAAUUUUUUUUUUUUCCUGCCGUGUACCUGAUCCAUUGCAGCGAGCAACCUUAGGGUUGUUGCUGCCCGUUCCCUGACUGAUUGCAGCGAGCACCAGAGAAGGUGUUGCUGCCCUGACCGAUUGCAGCGAGCACCAGAUAGGGUGUUGCUGCCCUGUUGAUUUGUCCAACGCGUUCUAGGUCCCAUCACCGCUGCUGUUUUUUUUCUCUGCCUAGUUUGUGUCAGUCAACACCGAAGCAACAGAGAGAUGGCUGAAGAAAAGGGGGCUGGUUCACAGGUUGUUUCAGUGGCUGCUCCAAUUAUGGUGCAGUCAGAGAAUUCAAGCUUUAAUAUUGGUAUGGUUUUGGAUGAAAAGAACUAUGAUUUAUGGGCUCCCCUCAUUCAAAUUCAUAUUGUUGGAAGGAAGAAGAUGGGAUAUCUUCGUGGGUCUAUCAAGGCACCUAGCGAAGACGAUCCUAAAUAUGAUGGUUGGUUUUCUGAAGAUCAAAAAAUUAAGAGUUGGCUUUUGUCUUCAAUGAAGCCCGAGAUUAUGAAACGGUACAUUCGGUUGUCUACAUCGAAGGAGAUUUGGGACUCCUUGAAGGCAGCCUACUUUGAUGAGAAUGACGAGGCUAGAAUUUAUUCGUUGAAUCAGAAGGCAUCCCAACUACGUCAGAAUGGCCGACCCUUAGCUACCUAUUUUGGGGAGCUCACUGAGAUCUUCCAAGAAUUGGAUCACUUUAAUAAAGUAUCCAUGGAGUGUGAGAAUGACAUCAAAGUGUUUCAGAAAUCCACUGAGAGACAACGGGUCUAUGUGUUUCUCGGUGGUCUCGAUGAUGGGUUUGAUCAGGUGCGUGGAGAAGUGCUGCGGAAGGAUCCCCCACUUGGCCUGCAGGCUUCUUAUGCCUAUGUUCGUCGAGAAGCCGAUCGAAAGGAAGCAAUGAAGACAGAGGUUGACAAGGGGGAGUCUGUUGCCAUGGCAGCAAGGGCCCGUGGAUCAUCUAGUGGGUCGAACCGAGAAGGGGUACAAAACCGGCCUGGAUCAACUCAGCCGAGCCAGACAAGCCGGGAUCGUCCACAAGGUAAGUGCCCACACUGUGGCUUAACGGGACACUACAAGAGUCGUUGUUUUGAGCUGAUUGGAUAUCCCGAGAAUUGGGAUAAGACCCGUGAUCCUCGGUGCAACAAAUCUCGAGCCUCCAUUGCUGAAACCAAGAAUGAUUCGGAUCAGAUAGCGGACAAGGCAUCUGCCAUGAUAGCUGCGGCAGGAAGUGAUGGUAAGGCACUCAGUACUUCUACUUCUGUUAUGAAUAAUACAUGGAUAAUUGAUUCCGGAGCUACUGAACAUAUGACUUGUGAUUCUAGACAGGUUCCAUCACUAAAAACAUCCACACAAACCGAGGUCAAUGUUACUAAUGGUAAUGCCGUCCCUGUUAUUGGGGAAGGUGCUGUUUCCCUUUCCGAUACCAUGAAACUUGACACUGUUCUUGUGGUUCCCUCUCUAAAUUAUAAUUUGUUGUCCGUUGCUCAAAUAACCCUUGCCUUACAUUGUUUGGUUAUUUUUUGGCCCUAUUUUUGUGUUUUUAAGGACAUCCAGACGCGGAAGAUGAUUGGUUAUGGUAUUAGAAGAGGGAAACUUUAUUACUUGGAGUUGACCACCAGUAGUUCUAGCUUGCUGACGCAAGCUCUUUCCGUUGAUGAUUCUCAAGGGGUUACUAAUAAAGUGUCAGACAUCUGGAUGUCGCCUUGGGCAUGCUUCCUUUGGUUAUCUGCAUAAGUUAUUUCCUAGUUUGUUUGUCAAGAAUGAUGUUUCUCAGUUUAAGUGUGAUGUUUGUGAAAUGGCUAAGAGUCAUCGAACCUCUUUUCCUCCCAGUUUAAAUAAAAGUACCGUUCCUUUUAUGAUUGUGCAUUCUGAUGUAUGGGGACCGUCAAAAGUAGCCACUCUUGGUGGUGCUCAUUGGUUUGUUACUUUUAUUGAUGAUUGUACCCGCGUGACUUGGGUUAUUUUGUUAAAGUCGAAGAGUGAAGUUAGUUCGGCCUUCCAACGGUUUCAUAAAAUGAUUGUUGUACAAUACAACAGGAAUAUCCAGGUUCUUCGCAAUGACAAUGGGGGAGAAUAUGUUAAUAUGGAACUUCGUUCAUUCUUCGAGUUGCAUGGUAUUGUUCAUCAGACUACGUGUCCGUAUACUCCUCAACAGAAUGGGGUUGCAGAAAGGAAAAAUCGACACUUGUUGGAAAUGGUUCGUGCUUCCCUACUUGUGGCACAUCUGCCGCUCCAUUAUUGGGGAGAGGCACUUACGUCUGCAACUUAUCUUAUUAAUCGCCUUCCAUCUCGGACUCAACUUCCAUACGCCAUUUCAGGCUCUCACAUCUCAGACUAGCAGCCCCCCGACUCCCAAUCUUCCCCCACGGGUCAUCGGAUGUGUUGCGUUUGUUCACCUUCAUCCACCUCAACGGAAGACUAAACUUGAACCUAGAGCUCUUCGUUGUGUUUUUUUGGGGUAUGCUACUACCCAGAAAGGGUAUCGUUGUUAUCAUCCUUCGAGUAAAAAGAUGUUUAUUACUAAAGAUGUGAGUUUUCACAAGACUAAAAUGUUCUUUGGUUCCUCCCCGUCCUCACUUCAGGGGGAGUACCACAAUGAUGAAGUUCUGACUCGCGAUAAUAGGGAUGUGGUGAGCUUGGAGUACACGGCUUCUGGAAGAGGGCAACAACCCACGGUACCUGGAGAAGGGCAGCAGCCAAUGCCCGUGACACCUGGAGAAGGGCAGCAGCCCGUGUUUUCUAGGUUUAGUCCUACCGAGCAGCCUACUGAGGAGCAGCCAACAAGUCAGGAAGAGGAGCAGCCCACGGGUCUCACGGGUAUUGAGUUGGAAGAUGAGAUGCAGCCGCCCAAUUGCCGUGAAACAGAGCAGAAAUUACAGCAUGUGUCACGAGAUACUACUUCUCAUAACCAAUCGUCUUCUACACCGGAUGCACCUCUACUUCGUCGCCUUCCAGAACGCAUUAAUAGAGGUAUUCCCAAACCCACUUAUGAGGCAGAUCCUGAGUGUAAACACAAGUAUUCCAUGAGUGAGCCAAACUCUGAUUCCAGAGUGAGAUACCCAUUAAAUCAUUAUGUGUCUACUUGUCACCUGUCAGAAUCAAAUAAGUCAUUUGUAUAUCAAUUAUCUACUGUAUCUAUUACUAACAGUGUGCAGGAGGCUUUAGCAGAUUCCCGCUAGAAAGAUGCAAUGAACGAGGAAUUUAGAUCGUUGAAGAAGAAUGCUACCUGGGAAAUAACUGACUUGCCAGCCGGAAAGAAAAUAGUGGGAUGCAAAUGGGUUUAUACAGUAAAAUAUAAAGCCGACGGAACGGUAGAUCGCUUUAAAGCAAGAUUGGUGGCAAAGGGGUAUACACAGAAAUAUGGCAUUGAUUACACUGAUACGUUCGCACCAGUGGCAAAGAUCAAUACAGUUCGUGUUCUACUGUCCUUAGCAGCAAAUCUGGAUUGGCCUUUGCAACAGUUCGACGUAAAAAAUGCUUUCCUCCAUGGAGAUCUGACUGAGGAGAUUUACAUGGACCUUCCACCAGGGUGCAGUGAUUCGGACAGACAGAAACAAAAGGUAUGUAGGCUCAAGAAAUCACUGUAUGGAUUAAAGCAGUCUCCGAGAGCCUGGUUUGGUAGAUUUACCAAGUCCAUGAGGGCAUUUGGGUAUAUACAGAGUAAUUGGGAUCACACGUUGUUUCUGAAACACCAGAACGGAAAGGUUACGGCUCUAAUCGUGUAUGUGGAUGAUAUGGUGGUUACUGGUGAUGAUCCUGUUGAGCAAGCAGCCUUGAAAAGUUAUUUGUCCACAGAAUUUGAAAUGAAAGAUCUUGGUCCUUUGAAAUAUUUUCUUGGGAUUGAAGUAUCAAGAUGCAAGUUCGGGAUAUUCCUAUCACAAAGGAAGUAUGUUCUUGACCUGUUGGAAGAAACCAGUAUGACAGCAUGUAAGCCGGUGUCUACUCCGUUGGCCGAAUGAAUGAAGUUGGGUAUAGAUCAGAACCAAGUACCGGUUGAUAAAGGGAGGUAUCAAAGGUUAGUAGGAAGAUUAAUGUACUUGGCUCACACUAGGCAUGAUCUUGCUCAUGCCUUAAGUGUGAUUAGUCAAUAUAUGCACAAUCCAGGAGAACAACAUAUGAGUGCAGUUAUGAGAAUAUUGAGUUACUUAAAGGGGAGCCCUGGUAAAGGAAUUUUAUUUCGGAAAAAUGAGCAUUUCAGAAUUGAGUGCUAUACGGAUGCUGAUUGGGCAGGAUCGACGGAUGAUAGACGCUCGACAUCUGGGUAUUUCACCUUUGUUGGGGGAAAUCUAGUAACGUGGAGAAGCAAGAAGCAGAAUGUCGUAUCAAGGUCAAGUGCAGAAGCCGAAUUUAGAGGCAUGGCACUCGGUAUUUGUGAACUCUUGUGGCUUAAGUUUCUGUUGCAAGAUGUGGGGGUCAAACAAGGUCUGCCUAUGAAGUUAUUCUGUGACAAUAAAGCUGCACGGGAUAUUGCUCAUAAUCCUGUGCAACAUGAUCGGACCAAGCAUGUAGAGGUGAUCGGUUCUUUAUUAAAGAGAAGCUAGAUAGUAAAGUAAUUGAGGUUUCUCCCAUAGGAACGGAUGACCAAGUAGCAGAUAUUCUCACAAAGGCGGUUUCUAGUAACAAGUUCUCCAAAUUUCUAGACAAGUUGGGCAUGUGCAACAUCUAUGCACCAACUUGAGGGGGAGUGUUGACUUGUAUUAGGAUUCCUAUAAUUGUGGGAUUCCUACUGUAAUUGGUUUCCUAGUUUAGGAUAUUAUUAUUCUUUCCCUUAUUCUUUCCCAUAUCUGUAUAGGGUUGUAUAUAUACCUUGUUUUGAUAUGAAAUCAAAAUAUAAUUUAAAGGCAUUCUUUCUUCUUACAUAACAUGCAUUUUCUGUUUUCUUAAUUCCUGUAUUUCCAGUUGAGAGUGAACUCUACAAAAUCCAUGAUUGGUCACCUACUGGGAGCAUCUGGUGCUGUAGAAGCUGUUGCAGCAGUACAGGUAACUUACGUGAUGUUUUUUACUUGGAAAAACUGUACUAUUUUUAGACCUUAUAUGUAAGACCAAAUACAAUUCUUGUUUGUUUGGCUUGAAGUGUAGUUCUUGACAUGUUAUCUUCUUUUUGGGUAGGCGAUAAGAACUGGGUGGAUACAUCCAAAUAUUAAUCUGGAAAGCCCAGAUGAGGGCGUGGUACGUUGUCUUCCGUUCCCUUGUAACCCUUUUCUGGUAUAUAAUGUCCAAUGAAAGUGUAUUUGGAAUCCUCUAACUCUGUCAGCACAUGAAUGCAGGAUACAAAACUACUGGUGGGUCCAAAGAAAGAGAGACUGGACGUUAAGGUGGCAUUGUCUAACUCAUUUGGGUUCGGUGGCCACAACUCAUCGGUCUUGUUUGCCCCUUACAAGUAGAAACAUAGAUCUCAGUGUGCUACUCCAACCUUUGAUGCAAUCGUACUGCAGGUAUGUUUGCAUACUGCCACCUUUUUAUUAGAAAUAAGAAAGAAUUGUAAUAUGUAAACAAAUGAAGCAAAGUGUCGGGAUUGCUACUCUGUCCGAGAGUUAAUAUCUUUCAACUUGAAAUCAACAUAGUAGAACAGUUACGAGCACUGUCACAUAUUUCUUCAACAAUGAAAUCAAUGAUCUUUCUUUCGCCGGAUGGGAAAUUCAGUCGGAGUGUUACGUGGAUAAAACGUCGUGAGCCUUUGGGAAGUGGGUCUUAUGGGACUGUGUAUGAAGGCUUAACUGAGUAAGUGGUCAUCUUCCACAUCCAACAACAACAACAACAACAAAGCCUUUUCCCAUUAAGUGGGGUCGGCUAUAUGAAUCCUAGAACGCCAUUGCGCUCGGUUUUGUGUCAUGUCCUCCGUUAGAUCCAAGUACUCAAGUCUUUUCUUAGGGUCUCUUCCAAAGUUUUCCUAGGUCUUCCUCUACCCCUUCGGCCCUGAACCUCUGUCCCGUAGUUACAUUUUCGAACCGGAGCGUCAGUAGGCCUUCUUUGCACAUGUCCAAACCACCGGAACCGAUUUUCUCUCAUAUUUCCUUCAAUUUUGGCUACUCCUACUUUACCUCGGAUAUCCUCAUUCCCAAUCUUAUCCUUUCUCGUGUGCCCAUACAUCCCACGAAGCAUCCUCAUCUCCGCUACACCCAUUUUGUGUACGUGUUGAUGCUUCACCGCCCAACAUUCUGUGCCAUACAACAUCGCUUGGCCUUAUUGCCGUCCUAUAAAAUUUUCCCUUGAGCUUCAGUGGCCUACGACGGUCACACAACACGCCGGAUGCACUCUUACACUUCAUCCAUCCAGCUUGUAUUCUAUGGUUGAGAUCUCCAUCUAAUUCUCCGUUCUCUUGCAAGAUAGAUCCUAGGUAGCGAAAAACGGUCACUUUUUGUGAUCUUCGCUAGAUUGCUCCGGUCAUUAGUGUGGAUAAGUAUAUAAAUGGAUAGAGAUAGGAAAGCAAACACAAGAUGUACGUGGUUCACCCAGAUUGGCUACGUCCACGGAAUAGAGGAGUUCUCAUUAAUUGUGAAGGGUUUACACAAGUACAUAGGUUCAAGCUCUCCUUUAGUGAGUACAAGUGAAUGAUUUAGUACAAAUGACAUUAGGAAAUAUUGUGGGAGAAUGAUCUCGUAACCACGAAACUUCUAAGUACCGGAGUGUGGUAUCGUCUUGACUUGCCUUAUCUGUCUCAUAGGUAGAUGUGGCAUCUUCUCUGGAAGUACUCUUCCUCCAUCCAGGGGUGGUAUCUGUAACUGGUGGAGAUGCACAAGGUAAUGUAUCAAUUUCACUUGAAGCUUACUUGUAGUUUCAGGCUUGGUCAAGCGCGAUACAAACCAUGUAGUAGGAGUCCCCCAAGUCGCCGAGCUAGGGGAUCUGCUGAAAGAGGUGACAGACAAGGUAAGCAAUCAGAGCUCCGGCUGAUUGUUCACAUUCUCCCUAUCUUGCAGGCAGCAUGAAGGAUAAAGAGAAGAAAAAAUGAGAAGAGAUGAUAUGGGAUACUUUUGCUUUUGAAGAAGUAACUUUCCACAGGCUUAUUCUUGAACUGGGCUGGAGGGUUUUCUGGUUUCCUCCAGAGUAUAAGGCCGACUGAAGAAUUUGAGGGUCAAAACAAGUCCAUCAAAUCUAGAGUACGUUCGACCCUGCUGAUAUGGGAUACUUUUGCUUUUGACAGAGUAGUGGAUGUAUCGGCACGUGUGCUGUUACGCUUGUCUCCACAUGCUUCCUUGUAUCCUUCUCACUUGCCCUAUCUGUUCCUCAGGCAGAUGCGGUAUCUUCCCUGGAAGCAUAAGAUGUUGAAGAUGAGUACUCGAGAGCAAUGCCAGGUAAGUAAUCAGGUAAGGGGUUCCAGGCAGUCAGUUCCUGGCUGGAAGCUUGAUUCCAAGUGCUGACUGAUUGCUCUCUUUCUCCUUGUCUUGCAGGUAAGAACAAGGCCAAAGGAAAAGACAGGGAAAAAGCAUGAUAUGGGAUACUCUUGCUUUUAACCCUGAUGAUAUGAGAUAUUCUUGCUCUAGUAUAGCUUGUUUACAGAGGUAUUAUCGGGGGGAAAGAAAGCUGAAUAUUUCGAAAGGCUUCGUUGGGAGUGCCCUCUCAGAUAAGAGAAAGGGUUGAGCAUUUUUGCAGGUCUGCCUGUCCGUUAGGGAUGGAGGUCGACAUAUAUAGGAGUCUCCCUAACAUCAAGUAAUAAUGCUAUUCCUUUACCCUGCUUGGUCAUAGCACGGUAGUGGGAGCUGCCAGCUUCACAUGUUUUAACUCUGUCAGAGCACUUUGAAAAAGUGGUCUGUGGUAUCUGGAAAGCUGAUGUUGCGUGUGAAGAUUACAGACAAGCUUUAUCCAAGGAGAUCCAGCUCUUGAAGUUGGGAAAGUGGUGCCUCUUCGAUUUUUCGAACAAGCAAUCCUGUCGGGGAUCUGGCUCUCGAGAUUCGGAGAACGAUGCCUCUUCGAUUUUUGAGAAAGCAAUCCUGCUGGGGGUCUGGCUCUCGAGAUUCGGAGAGCGGUGUCUCUUCGAUUUUUGAGAAAGUAAUCAUGUUGGGAGUCUGGCUCUCGAGAUUCGGAGGGCGGUGCCUCUUCGAUUUUGGAGCAAGCAAUCUUGUUGGGAGUGUUUUCUCGAAUGUGAGUAAAGGUUGGGCAUGUUUGCUAGUCUACCUUGCCACGAAGCACAGAGGUUGACACACAGGGACUUUCCAAUUAUCCAGCAGUGGUACUGUUCCUUUACCCUCUCUUCGAUUUUUGAGAAAGUAAUCAUGUUGGGAGUCUGGCUCUCGAGAUUCGGAGGGCGGUGCCUCUUCGAUUUUGGAGCAAGCAAUCUUGUUGGGAGUGUUUUCUCGAAUGUGAGUAAAGGUUGGGCAUGUUUGCUAGUCUACCUUGCCACGAAGCACAAAGGUUGACACACAGGGACUUUCCAAUUAUCCAGCAGUGGUACUGUUCCUUUACCCUCUCUUCGAUUUUUGAGAAAGUAAUCAUGUUGGGAGUCUGGCUCUCGAGAUUCGGAGGGCGGUGCCUCUUCGAUUUUGGAGCAAGCAAUCUUGUUGGGAGUGUUUUCUCGAAUGUGAGUAAAGGUUGGGCAUGUUUGCUAGUCUACCUUGCCACGAAGCACAGAGGUUGACACACCGGGACUUUCCAAUUAUCCAGCAGUGGUACUGUUCCUUUACCCUUGUGGGUAAUAAUAUGGUAGCUAGACCUUCAAAAUUUAUGUGUCUAAACUUUGUUAGUGUUGUUUCUUUGCUAAUUCUUUUACCCUUCUUGGUCAGAGCGAUGUAGUGGGAGCUGCAAGCUUCACGUGUCUCAACUUUGUCAGAGAACUUUGGCAAAGUUAUCUGUGGUACCCAUGAGCUACUGUUGCGUGUGGGAAGUGGGUGAUUGAACAGUACGAUUCAUGUGCUUUCUACUUCGCCAGAAAUCUUCGACAGAAUGCCCAUAAUUUCCGCAAAGCUGAGUGUGCGUGUGACAGGUGCUGACAAGGCUGGAAAAGUAGGUGCCUCUUCGAUUUCUGAGAUCGGCCCUCUCGUGGUCUCUGAGCAGCCCAGCUUUUGAGAAAGCAAGCCUCUUCGAUUUCUGAGAUCGGCCUUCGUGGUCUUUGAGCAGCCCAGCUUUUGAGAAAGCAAACGCCUCUUCGAUUUCUGAGAUCGACCCUCGUGGUCUCUCUGAGCAGCCCAGCUUUUGAGAAAGCAAACGCCUCUUCGAUUUCUGAGCAGGCGCCUCUUCGAUUUCUGAAGCUUCGUCGAGUGCAGAUUUUUAUAGGGGCUGACAUUAAGUUCCAAAGCACACUUGAAUAUCCACCAGUAGAAGCUCCAUUCUUGCACUUCUAAGAUCUUGAUUUGUCCGACCUCUUCUCUCUUCAACACCUUUGAAAAUGUCUGGCCCCUCCGACCGUCGUUUUGACUUGAACCUUGUUGAAGAGGCAGCCCCGCCUUCUCCAGACAACAUAUGGCGCCCAUCCUUCGUCUCCCCUACUGGUCCUCUUACCGUUGGGGAUUCCGUGAUGAAGAAUGAUAUGACCGCUGCGGUAGUGGCCAGGAACCUUCUCACUCCCAAAGAUAACAGACUACUUUCCAAACGGUCUGAUGAGUUGGCUGUUAAGGAUUCUCUGGCUCUCAGUGUUCAGUGUGCAGGUUCUGUGUCUAAUAUGGCCCAACGCCUAUUUGCUCGAACCCGCCAAGUUGAAUCAUUGGCGGCUGAAGUGAUGAGUCUCAAACAGGAGAUUAGAGGGCUCAAGCAUGAGAAUAAACAGUUGCACCGGCUCGCACAUGACUAUGCUACAAACAUGAAGAGGAAGCUUGACCAGAUGAAGGAAUCUGAUGGUCAGGUUUUACUUGAUCAUCAGAGAUUUGUGGGUUUGUUCCAAAGGCAUUUAUUGCCUUCGUCUUCUGGGGCUGUACCGCGUAAUGAAGCUCCAAAUGAUCAACCUCUGAUGCCUCCUCCUUCUAGGGUUCUGUCCAGUACUGAGGCUCCGAAUGAUCCCCCUCCGGUGCCUUCUCUUUCUGGGGCUCUACCGACUGCUGAGACUUCUCCUAAGCAACCUUUGUGAAGGCUCCCUCUUGUUUGUUUAUUUUGACUCAAGUAUAUGUACAUAUUUGUAACUUAUCGGGGAUAUCAAUAAAUAAGCUUUCCUUCAUUUCAACGUAUUGUGUUAAAUACACCAAAGCCUUCUUCGCUAAGUUCUUUGAAUUUUCUUUUGUUGAAGCUUGUAUGUUGAAGCUUUGUGAGUGGAGCAUGUAGGUUGAGGUAGUGUUCCCUUAAUUUCCCGAGUGAGGAAAACUUCUCGGUUGGAGACUUGGAAAAUCCAAGUCACUGAGUGGGAUCGGCUAUAUGAAUCUUAGAACGCCAUUGUGUUCUGUCCUGUGUCAUGUCCUCCGUUAGAUCCAAGUACUCUAAGUCUUUUCUUAGGGUCUCUUCCAAAGUUUUCCUAGGUCUUCCUCUACCCCUUCGGCCCUGAACCUCUGUCCCAUAGUCGCAUCUUCUAAUCGGAGCGUCAGUAGGCCUUCUUUGCACAUGUCCAAACCACCGUAACCGAUUUUCUCUCAUCUUUCCUUCAAUUUCGGCUACUCCUACUUUACCCCGGAUAUCCUCAUUCCUAAUCUUAUCCUUUCUCGUGUGCCCACACAUCCAACGAAGCAUCCUCAUCUCCGCUACACCCAUUUUGUGUACGUGUUGAUGCUUCACCGCCCAACAUUCUGUGCCAUACAGCAUCGCCGGCCUUAUUGCCGUCCUAUAAAAUUUUCCCUUGAGCUUCAGUGGCAUACGGCGGUCACACAACACGCCGGAUGCACUCUUCCACUUCAUCCAUCCAGCUUGUAUUCUAUGGUUGAGAUCUCCAUCUAAUUCUCCGUUCUUUUGCAAGAUAGAUCCUAGGUAACGAAAACGGUCGCUCUUUGGUAUUUCUUGAUCUCCGAUCCUCACCCCUAACUCGUUUUGGCCUCCAUUUGCACUGAACUUGCACUCCAUAUAUUCUGUCUUUGAUCGGCUUAGGCGAAGACCUUUAGAUUCCAACACUUCUCUCCAAAGGUUAAGCUUUGCAUUUACCCCUUCCUGAGUUUCAUCUAUCAACACUAUAUCGUCUGCGAAAAGCAUACACCAAGGAAUAUCAUCUUGAAUAUGUCCUGUUAACUCAUCCAUUACCAACGCAAAAAGGUAAGGACUUAAGGAUGAGCCUUGAUGUAAUCCUACAGUUAUGGGAAAGCUUUCGGUUUGUCCUUCAUGAGUUCUUACGGCAGUCUUUGCUCCUUCAUACAUAUCCUGUUAUAGCUUGGAUAUAUGCUACUCGUACUCCUUUCUUCUCUAAAAUCCUCCAAAGAAUGUCUCUUGGGACCCUAUCAUACGCUUUUUCCAAAUCUAUAAAGACCAUGUGUAAAUCCUUUUUUCCCAUCUCUAUAUCUUUCCAUCAAUCUUCGUAAGAGAUAGAUUGCCUCCAUGGUUGAGCGCCCUGGCAUGAACCCGAAUUGGUUGUCCGAAACCCGUGUCUCUUGCCUCAAUCUAUGCUCAAUGACUCUCUCCCAGAGCUUCAUUGUAUGACUCAUUAGCUUAAUACCCCUAUAGUUCAUGCAAUUUUGUACAUCGCCCUUAUUCUUGUAGAUAGGCACCAAAGUGCUCGUUUCGCCACUCAUUUGGCAUCUUCUUCGUUUUCAAAAUCCUAUUGAAAAGGUCAGUGAGCCAUGUUAUACCUGUCUCUCCCAAAACUUUCCACACUUCGAUUGGUAUAUCGUCUGGGCCUACUGCUUUUCUAUGCUUCAUCUUCUUCAAAGCUACAACCACUUCUUCCUUCCGGAUUCUACGAUAAAAAGAGUAGUUUCUACACUCUUCUGAGUUACUCAACUCCCCUAAAGAAGCACUCCUUUCAUGUCCUUCAUUGAAAAGAUUAUGAAAAUAACCUUCCAUCUGUCUUUAACCGCGUUCUCUGUAGCAAGAACCUUUCCAUCCUCAUCCUUGAUGCACCUCACUUGGUUUAGGUCCCUUGUCUUCUUUUCCCUUGCUCUAGCUAGUUUAUAGAUAUCCAACUCUCCUUCUUUGGUAUCUAGUCGCUUAUACAUAUCGUCAUAAGCCGCUAACUUAGCUUCUCUCACAGCUUUCUUCGCCUCUUGCUUCGCUUUUCUAUACCUUUCACCAUUUUCAUCGGUCCUAUCCUUGUAUAAGGCUUUACAACAUUCCUUCUUAGCCUUCACCUUUGUUUGUACCUCCUCAUUCCACCACCAAGAUUCCUUUUGGUGUGGGGCAAAGCCCUUGGACUCUCCUAAUACCUCUUUUGCUACUUUUCGGAUACAACUAGCCAUGGAAUCCCACAUUUGGUUAGCUUCCCCCUCUCUAUCCCACACACACACUGGGUGAUUACUUUCUCUUUGAAAAUGGCUUGUUUUUCUUCUUUUAGAUUCCACCAUCUAGUCCUUGGGCACUUCCAAGUCUUGUUCUUUUUUCUCACUCUUUUGAUAUGUACAUCCAUCACCAACAAGCGAUGUUGAUUAGCCACGCUCUCUCCUGGUAUAACUUUGCAAUCCUUACAAGUUAUACGAUCCCCUUUCCUCAUUAGAAGAAAAUCUAUUUGUGUUUUUGACGACCCACUCUUGUAGGUGAUCACAUGUUCUUCUCUCUUCUUAAAGAAGGUGUUGGCUAAGAAGAGAUCAUAUGCCAUUGCAAAAUCCAAGAUAGCUUCCCCAUCCUCGUUUCUCUCCCCAAAACCAUGGCCACCAUGAAAACCUCCAUAGUUGCCUGUCUCCCUGCCCACGUGUCCAUUUAAAUCUCCUCCUAUAAAUAACUUCUCCGUCUGAGCAAUUCCUUGCACCAAGUCUCCAAGGUCUUCCCAAAAUUUCUCCUUCGAACUCGUAUCCAACCCUACUUAAGGUGCGUACGCACUAAUCACAUUGAUAAGUUCUUGUCCUAUUACAAUCUUGAUUGCCAUGAUUCUAUCUCCUACCCUCUUGACAUCUACAACAUCUUGUGUCAAGGUCUUGUCCACGAUGAUGCCAACACCGUUUCUCGUUCUAUUUGUGCCCGAAUACCAUAGUUUAAACCCUGUGUGAAUUAAACCCAAUCUGAACAGGACUUGUGAAUUUUAUAUUGUUGGGUUUUACAGCUCAAAAUUAGGAUGAUGCAAAAAAUUAGGUUUGUGUUACCUAUUUGAGUUUGGAUUUUGACUUCUUAGUUGGUUUCCUUGGUGGAGAGAUUUUGUUAAUUACCUAUUUUAUUAGGAUUUGUAUUUACUUCCUAUUAGGAUUCUUAUUGUAACUUAAGUCCUAUGCACUAUAAAUAGGACACCAAGACUACCACCACUUUCAUAACUAGAGGGACCACCAUUCAUGGUUAUAUGAUCUCAUUUCUAAUUUUAUAGUUUAGUGUACUGCUAUCCAUUUACUCACUUCUUUCUUUUUAAUCUUUUGCAUAAUGUAUCCAUAAAACUUUGAGGUAGUCUGGAAAACCUUUAUCCCUACCAUUUCCUAGUUUUGUUUUUCAUAGUGUAAGCAUUCCAUUCUACUUUAGGUGUUUCCACUCAAAGUGUUUGGAAUUUUCUUAGCAAGAAAUUGUAAGGUUAGAAAAAGGAUGGAGAACGUGAAGUUGGUAUUGCAUUAAACUGGGCCUAUUCUGUUCAACAAAAUUAACAUGUUGGUCUCACUCUCUCUGUUUAUCUCAUGCUGCAAAUGUUCUUUUGCAGUGAUAAAGUAGCUUGCUAUAUUUCAAUAUAAUUUAAUAUAUUUAUUCAACUCUCCUGAUUUGUACACUUAGUUGCUCAUUGUAAUAUUAUUACAGGAUGAAACUAAGCUCUAUAUCUUCCUUGAGCUUGUAACAAAAGGCUCACUUGCAAAGUUAUAUCAAAACUAUAACUUAAAGGAUUCUCAAGUCUCUGGGUAUACAAGGCAGAUUCUAAGCGGGUUGACAUAUCUUCAUGAACGUGGCGUGGUUCACAGGUAAUGUCCUUUUGGUACUGGAAUUUUUGUAUUGUGAUUUUUCUGUCUUUUGUGGUUACACUGGAAGAGAUUGAACCAUUGACCUAUACUAAUCUUAGGGGACAAAACUGUGAACAACUAGUAGAACAAACUAUAAGGGAGGGUUUGAAAAAUGGGUGAGGGUCUUCCAAAUUCCAAGGCAUUUAGGCAAAAUAAAGAGGAAAUGGAUCACAAAAUGUUUGGUAGGAGGAAUUAGAAAUGCAUUACAAAAGACAUAAUAGAGGAAUUGCAAAUGACUAUUUGAAAUAUUUUAUAUAGGUAUCAUACACACGAAAAUUUACAAGGAAUAGAGGGACCGGAACAACAUACUUGUCUGUAAUUAAAGUACAACGUAUAGGCCCCAACAAAGAUAAGAUACAACUACGUAAAAAAUAACGAACCAAACAAUCCUUGUUUAACCUACAUUUUUAUAAUUCCCCUGGACAUAUUUUUUCUGCUUUCUAGACUUACGUGUUGCUUAUAUUGAUAUUGAACUUGUAGAAGUUUAAAAUUUGUUUUUAUUAUCUAUAUUUAUGAGAUUAUUUUUUCCAGGGAUAUCAAAUGUGCUAAUAUAUUGGUGCAUGCAAGUGGAUCUGUGAAACUUGCAGACUUUGGGUUAGCCAAGGUACAAUUCCUAAAUGUAUAUUCAUAGAAUUUCCAAUGCUGAAUCAUUCCUUAUUGGCAUUCUGUCUUUCUAGGUGACCAAAUUGAAUGAAUUGAAGUCUUCCAAAGGGACUGCUUAUUGGAUGGCCCCUGAGGUUUGCCUCCUCUCUUUACAGUAAAUGUGUGUUUGUACACAUCGGAUUGAUAUCUCAACAGCUGCCUUUACAUAGUAAUACUAGUAUGAUGUGGAGUAAUUCAUCUAGUUGUGAUUAUCCACGUAGUUAACUCUUUGAUGUACACAACUUAAUUUUCAUCAUUUACCUUGCAAUAGUAUAAUUGGGAAUAAGUUGCUCCGAGCAUGUUGUUCCAGUACGCUGUAAAAUUGUAGGUUGUUAAUCAAAUGAAUGGUGGCUAUGGGCUUGCAGCUGACAUAUGGAGCCUUGGAUGCACUGUGUUAGAGAUGUUAACCCGCCAGCCUCCGUACUUUCCCCUGGAAUGGGUAUGUUCAACAUUUCUGCACAUAUAAUGCUAAUCUUUUACUUUUUCUUUAGGAUAAGAAAUGCAUAAAAAUAUGCCCACAUCACAUUUUGACCUAGAUCAUUGGACGUAGGAGCCAACCUCAUCCCACACAUCCCCCACCGUGUGAUUGUACCUGGAUCAUCUUACUUGUACUCAGCCUUGUGCUACCUAUUCACAAUAUGUUAUUUACUCUUCCAUGCAAGUAACUAGAAUCCUUAAUCAAGAGUCAUGGACCUAUGUUUACCCCUUAACCUGUAUCCGGCUAUUUCUUCUCAGACAUCAGUGACCACUAGCACUAGGGUAACCUUAGUUUUCUUAAUCAAUUUGGACCGUCACUCAUGCGAGAAGGCUAAGACAUUUUAUAGACGCGGCAGAUCACUAAGUUGUCGCCUCUAGAGUCAUUUAGGAAUCUGACAAGAAUCUUAUUCUUGUUUGUGAUGAUUGGCAGAUAGCAGCAUUAUUUCAGAUUAGCAUGGAUAAACUUCCUCCAGUUCCUAAUUCGUUAUCAAGAGAUGCAAAAGAUUUCAUUUUGAAGUGUUUACAAGUUGACCCUAAUAGCCGACCCACAGCGGCUCAGCUAUUGAACCAUCCAUUUGUUGAAAGGCCACUCCACGCUUCCUCUGUCCCAGCUUCUCAUUGCAACAGUUUACGUUCGUGAAUGCUUUGGUCAACCAACCUUCAGUGAUAUUGUUAGGUAAUAUAGAGGAACUGGUUAGUGAUUGGAUCUAUAUACGCUCUCAAGCCAUGGUAGAACAUUAGCUUCCACGAACGUGGUUUGGGGAAGGGGAUAUGCUUCCAAUAUUUUCACAAAGAUGAGAAUGGUUUGCUAAUCAAACGAAGCACCUCUUGGUCCUUGUGUGUGGAUCUGCACUACUAGGGACGUGACGGACCAGAGAAACUUAAAAGCACGUUUUGUAGAUUAUGGACUUUGCUGUAAAAUACGUUUUGUAAACCUCCUGAUGGAUAUAACUCAAUCGAAUAUGAGACUCGGUGGAUCUGUUUGAUAACUAUUUUGUUUUAGUUUUCUUGUUAAAAAUAGAGGGGCAAGAUCUAAACAAGACCUGAAACUUGAACCUCAUUCUCAUGUUAGAUUAAAAAUAGAAUAAAAGCCCAAAGUUCAUCUUAUUGAUGAUUUUCUAAGGGGUAUAUAAUCUGAUUAGUAUAACUCAUGAGAACAGUAACAAACAAAGAUAUCCAAUUCGAUGAAAUAUAUGGCAUAAACUUUGUACAUACUGUAAAUACGGCUCUCAUACAAUACUCGUUUGGAAACACGUCACUCUAAGAAACUUAGAAUACCAUCUGAUUAGUAGAACUAAUCAAAAUUGUAACAAAGCUCAAAUGAUAAAAUGAAGAUGGCAGUUAAUUAUCUAUCAGAUGAAAUCACGGUACUUUCAGCAUGAGAGUAUAAAACCGGUAAGCAGCUGUUUCUGAGACAUUUAGACUGCACAUAUUCUUUGUACUUGGAGACUGAAUCCAUUAGCGAACUUCUGAGUUUCUUCUUCUGUUUGUUUGAUUGCAUCCUGCAAUUUCGGUUUGGAGGUCUGCAAGAAAAAUGAGAUUGGUUAUGAUAUCAAACUUAACAAAAUCCUAGUUAAGGAUUUUCAUAUGGCAUAACAAAUUAAUCACUAUAACACGUUUAAGAAUAAAAAAAACAACUUGAAGUUAAUUAUUCAAGAAAUAAGUCAAACAAAAACCUUCAGAAUCUUGUCUGCUUCUCCUUCCACAGUAUCCAAGUUACGAGUCUGCCUUUGAACAUCUGGAAUUGUAGUCCUGUGUCUCUUUCUUCAACAAGUUCAGUUGAGCUUCAACUAACGGGUGAAUUAUACACAAGUAAAAGAUAAGGUCAAAACAAAAUCCUUGUAAAAUUGUAUUUCUUUCUCAAAGUCCAAACCAUACCGGAGCAAUAACCAUAAGAUGCUUCAAAAGUAAGGGUGGUUUCCAAAAGUCCCACCAUAGGAUCAAUAACCUUUACAGUCGAUAUUUUACUUUGUAUGACAUACACCAGAGCCCUCCAAAACUAAUGUGCUCCCUCAGGCUGCAUUUAUUUUGCCUGCCACCGUUGAAACUUCUGAAACCAGAUUGGUUUCCUCAAGCGGUUCAUGUUUUUUGGGGUCUUUCUCCAAACAUGAAGCAUAAUAGGUUUGCCGUCAUCCAAAAGCAACCUUUAUGUAGUUUGUGUUCGAAAAGCAACCUAUGCACUAUAAAUAGGACACCAAGACUACCACCACUUUCAUAACUAGAGGGACCACCAUUCACGGUUAUAUGAUUCUCAUUUCUAAAUUCCUAGUUUAGUGUACUGCUAUCCAUUUACGCACUUCUUUCUUUCUUUCCUGGUUUGCAUUUCUAUUUGGUUCCGGCCAGUUUAUUAGAAGUACAACUUUCUACAUAUUGAGGGAGAUUUAUCUUUUCCUUUUGCAUUUGUUCUUGUUUUUUGUAGUUUGUGCAUAGGUAUUUGUCCUUGUAUGUGUGUACAACUGUACAUGUAUUUGUACAACCAUAAAACAAUAAAUUAAAGAGAUGACCAAUGCAACUACUCAAGCUGCAAUCAUAAGAUAAAAGUAGCUUGCUAUAUUUCAAUAUAAUUUAAUAUAUUUAUUCAACUCUCCUGAUUUGUACACUUAGUUGCUCAUUGUAAUAUUAUUACAGGAUGAAACUAAGAUCUAUAUCUUCCUUGAGCUUGUAACAAAAGGCACACUUGCAAAGCUAUAUCAAAACUAUAACUUAAACGAUUCUCAAGUCUCUGGGUAUACAAGGCAGAUUCUAAGGGGGUUGACAUAUCUUCAUGAACGUGGCGUGGUUCACAGGUAAUGUACUUCAUGAAAGGAAAAUGGCAUUUAUCAUAAUUUCCUUACUAUAGCAUUAUCACUAGCAGGAGCCGUCAUCCAACGAUCAUCGCAUUACAUGGUGAACAAUCAUCAAAUUUUCAUCACGUAAUCCAUGCAACUGAAUUCUAAACAUAUAACUAAAGCGUAAAACUUGAAGUUCAUGCAUGAAAGAAAUUAAGAGCUUCAGCUAACUAACCAAACAAUAAAUGGAUAAACUGUAGUAAAGAUCAAAACCAGCAAUUUAAGCAAAAGAAAAUCUCAAGGAUUGAAAUAGGUGGUGCUCACAGGUCAUUUGGCUUCGGCAGCCUCCAAUUCUUCCCUGACCUUAUCAAACAUGGAAAGCAUCAAAGAACGCAUGUUGGCAAUCUCUACAAGUGCGUCAAGUGCAGAUUCAAAUGAGAGUUGUGCUGCCCGUAGCUUCGGCGAAACCAAACCACCAAACAUCAACAGUGAUUUAGUCCGCUCCUUCUGAAGUUGAUGUUGGUGAGCAGUUUCAGCUUUAAGUGGGGGUGGAGGUCCAUCCUUAUCCUUUCGUUGUCGUAUCUGUGGACUCAUAUUCAUAAGUGGAGCUCCAUUGUCAUUGUCGGAGGAUGCCCAUUUGCGCAAUGUAAAAUGAUGAAUUUGCUCUGUUUCAGUAUCAGAUUGCUGGGUUACUUGCAGAAAUGUACUUGCAUUGUGCGAUUUCAGGUCCAACAAAGCACUGCUCACGCAUGACUCACCCAUAGAAUGUCGAGCACUUGCUAAUUGCAACCACCCCUGUUAGUGUUAUCCCUAUUCCAUGUUAGUAUAACAAUUUAAAUUAAAAGUAUACAAAUAAAAAUAGUAUGAUUUAAGCUAAUUUUACCUGCCGAAGUGUCCAGGACAGUGAAUCCAAUAGGGUUAAAUACCCGUCUAUUGAAUCCAGGAAUUGCAAUGAAUUUUCAUUCAAUUCAGAGAAUGCAAUUUUAUCUCGUCCUUCCAAGCUCAGUGAUUUAGGGUCUUCUUCCAAGCUGAGUGAUUUAGGGUUUUCUUCCAAGCUGAGUAAUUUAGGGUUUUCUUCCAAGCUGAGUGAUUUAGGGUCUUCUUUCAAGCUCUGGGAUUUAGAGUCUCCUUCCACAUUCUGCGAUUUAUAGUCUUCUUUCAAGCUCUGUGAUUUAGGGCCUCCUUUUUCCAAGCUCUGUAAUUUAGGUUCUUUCAAGCUGUGCGGUGUGGGGUCUUCUUCUAAGCUCUGUGACAUAGAGCCUUCUUUCAAGCUCGGGGCGUUAUUGGCUUGUUCUUCCAAGCUUUGUGAUUUAGGGUCGUCUUCUUCCAAGUUCUGCAAUUUAGGUUCUUCUUCCAUCGAGAACUUUGGAUUCAAUACGAAAACCCCUCACUUUUUUCAGUCAUAAGCCAUCACUGUCACUGAGCUUUCUGAACAAUUGGGUCAUUUAGUCAGUGACAUUACUAAAAUUCAACUCACCACAACUAAAUUCAUUUAUGUUUUAUAUUUUUGGGCCAAAGAUACUAUCCUAAAAAACAAAACAAACUGAUAAGGCAUACAACUAGUUUAGAUAAACAAAUCUAACACCAAUGACUAAAGAAAGUGAAAAUAAAACAAACAUGAUAUAGGAGCUCAAUUCUUUCAGAUAAAGAUUGGAGUGAGCUAAGUGCAGCAUUUGCACCAAAUCAUCAAUGGUAUCAAUAUUCUUCUUCUUCUUUCAACUACAGUCAGUAAGCACCAGCGCAAAUUCUUAGAAUAAAGAUAACAAACAUGAGAAGCAAGAAAACAACACAUAUUUAUUUAGGCCAGCCAUUGGAAGGAGAAUUUUAGGGUCUGUUUGGUACUCUACUUGAAUCCAACUUUUUAAACUCAAAAACAAUUUUCAAGUUUUAAGCCUUAAAAACUUGUUUGGUAUGACUAUUUUCAAAAAUUGAAUUCAAAACUAACUCAAAAAUAUAGUCUAUUCUCUAAAAACAUAAAAGGUGAGUUUUUAGAGUCUUUAAACUUAAACUCACUAUUUUCUUUUCUCUCCCUCCUCCCCUCUCAACUCCAAAUCUAUGUCUCUCCUCUUUUUUACCUUUUCCUUCUCCCCUCCAAUUUACUCUCUUCAUUUUCUCGAUUCUUUCUCUUACUCAUCUUCCUCUCUAUCUCGUCCGACCCUCUCUUCUUUCUCUUUCCUUCCAUCAUCUCUUACUUUCUUUCCUUUUAUCUCCUCCUUCUCCCUCUCAUGCAACCCCCUCUUUUUAGAUCUCUUAUCUAAUUUAAGUCGUAAGAUUUAAAAAUUUUAAAUCGCAAACCAAUCAAGUUUUUGAAUCUUAAAGAAAAUUGUUUUCAAGAAAUGUUCUUAAGAAAUGUUUUGAGAAAUGACAAAAAAAUUCAAAUAGGAUACCAAACAGGCCUUAAAGAUUUUCAAUAAGUUUGAGCUCUUAUAGGCUCCAAUCUAGGUAAAGGAAAGCAGUACAGUUGUGGUUUUUUUUAUAUAUAUUUUUAGCGCUAAUCUGCCGCAAUUUAUCUACCUCCAACAUAAAUUAUAUACUUUGUAAACUAUUUCAUAUUUGUUUCCCUUCUUUCACUCACCUUGACCCACCAUCAUACUCUAUGAGUUUGACCCACCAUCGUACUCUAUGAGUUUGACCGCAGUGCUCAAGUAACACCUAUACGACUCACAACUCUUCUACGUGAACUAACUUGAAAAAUGUUACCAUGAGAAUCGGAAGAGAACAUCUGCACUAGUAGUUAACACAUACAACCUUUGCAUACCUCAGUUUACUUGUAAUUUUGAACUGACAUCGAAGGAUAACGUUGAAUCAAUAGGAUCACUGCCUCCUCAGCAAUCUGUUGAUAAAUGAAAACAAAAAUGAAUAGGAUUAUACAUUGAAGGACCUAUAAAAGCAUCUCUCUCUUAAAUUCCCUCUCUAUCUCCACCAGUUCUUGAUUUUAAAAAUGUUUCAAGACACCGUAGGCUGCAACUUUAACCCAAACUCCAUCCCAGUAAAUCUAACCAAAUUAAAUUCGUUAGGGUAACUGCAGAAUGAGGUUUUCAUCGGCCAGGAGAAAAAAUAAAAAACUAAAACGAACUGAAACGAGGCAAUUUGUGAGUUUCUAGGGUUCUAAAUGAUGCGAAACUUAAAACGAAACUUAGAGAUAGAGAAUUCAGAUAUAUGACUAACGUAUUAACAACCAGAAAUCGCAGCCUCAAAAUUAUGAAAUCGUAGCCUCCAAUAUUCAAAAUCGCAGUCUCAAACCUCUGAAC
rnacentral:lncRNA from 1 species